GAAAAGAACCCAGUUUGAUUCUCAGAACCCAGGCUGACUGUACAAAGCUGGUAGUUAGAAAAACAUCUUUUCUACUUACAAAAACUGAGAAAGAUUUGAUACAGAAAGAAACAAACAUAGAACCCUAGGGUCUGUUUUCAGAGUAGAACUUCUCUUUAAAGAACUUCAGAAAAUACCUCGGUUGUUUUUUUUUUGGUCACCUGCAUGUGACUUUUUUCCUCUACAGAAUUAGAUUUGUUGUAGUAUUCCACUAUUGCCAACAGGAGAUAAGUAUAUGAAUGGAAGACAGUCCAUAAAAAAAGUUUUAAAUUUAAGCAAAAUAUUUUUUUUUCCAAGAUAAACACAACUUUUGACUACUUAUCACCCAAGUGCAGCUCAACUCCUCUGUAACUAUGGCCUACUUUGGACCACGGCAGAUUGGAUUGCAAUUGUCAGGCAACAAGUUCAGUGAUGUACAUGUGAGUAAAAUAAGCAGGAUUGGACCCCAAGAGUUCAAGACCUGCUGAGAAUACAUCAAUUUCUAAAAUCCUUAGAGGAAGGAGUGAACCACUUAAGACGUAUAUGCAGACUGACAAUGACUGAGGACUUCCCAGCAUCUCCUGAAGGCCCUAUUGAGAGAAAAUUAAUUCCAGCACCACUUUAUUUUCUAUGCUAUCAUCACACUGGGAAAUAUCGCAUGAUUAAUUCUAGUGAUACAAUUCAAUAUUGAUGCAAGUGAGUAUGUAGCAAAGGGUUAUUUCCUCUAUAUUAUUAGAAAAGUCUUCCACACACAAAGUAUUGUACUCACUACUCUAAGAUCCAAACAUUCCUGCCAGGCUCCAUCAAUCCUUUUUCUGUUUCCUAAAACUGGUACAACAAAUGCCAAUGUCCCCAAUCCCCACCGCUCUCUUGGGGGGGGGGGGGGGAAGGCAAGAUUUGCAAUCAUUGCUAACACUAGCAAACCCUCAAAAGCGAGACGCCUAAGAGUGGAAAAGGUGCUUAGGUCGCUACAGCUGUUUCACGUUUUGGAGGGAGGAAGAGAGGGAUAAUUGGAUGCCAGUCGUUUCCGAUCGUGGCCAUAAGGCAGCUGCAGCGCAAAGCCAACAAGGGAGCUGGAAGUUGCGCCGCGAGCGGCUACGGGGAGGCUGCAGGGCUCACGGCUGGAUGCCCAAGGCGGAGGGGGGCCGCCCGCCCCGCGCUCACUCAACCUAAAAAAGUUUCCCCGGGAGAGCGAGGCUGCCCCGCGCCCGCUCGCGACACCAGCCACGCGCGCUGGCCCCGCGCCCCAGCAUCACUCCAGCCACUGCGCUCAACAGGCUGCCCGGUCCCUCGCCAAACCGCGCUCGGACGCCGCAGCCCCGGGAGCUGCCCAACGCGCCCCCCUCCCCGGCCUGCGCCUGGCAAGAGCCCCGGGCCCCUGCCCGUGGAGACGGGCGCUCCGCGGGGCGCCUCCCCCUGGCCGCCGCGGCUGGCCCUGGAAAGGGCUGAAAGAGCCGCCGCCAACGCCGAAAGUCCUCGCGGGGGGCGUCAAACUCCUGCGGACUUGCAGGGGAGUUUAGCCGGCCUGAGUCCCGCUGGCGGCGCAGGCAGCCGCCCGAAGGACGGACGCGCGGUACCUUGCGGAGUGAUGGAGGGUGGCAGCCGGGGCCGGCCCCUGCGAGGCGCCCAGGGAAAGAAGCGGCUCCGCGAGCUCCGGCUCAGCCACCGAGAAAGUUUCCUGACGUCAGGCUGGGCUUCCUCCCGCCUCCCCUCCCACCAUUGAUCUGCCGGAGCUGGCGCUCGGCUGCUCCCGGGCUCCCUCUGGCUCACGCCGCCUUGCUACAGCGGGAGGUGGCCGGGCUCAUUGGCAGGCGGAGCGCGUGUGCGCCCCCCUCCCGCGCGCGCGUCCGCCCGCUCGGUCAGCGCCCAGCCAAGCGCCUGGGACUUUGCCCCGGGGUGGUUUAGACGGGGAAUGAUCCUCCCCCCGCCGCCUUCCCACAGCAGCUUCGCGAGGAAAGAACCUGCCUGGGGUAACAGAAGCAGCUAAACUGUCUUAAACAACCAUAGCGAGUCUGGCAGGGGGCUGUAUUCUUGAAGAAAUCUGCUGGGGGCGGGGGGAGGAUGCAGAUUCUGGGGGAUGCAUUCCCAGGGACGGGUAAGAGUAACUAGGCACAACCCCCACCUGAGUGGGGUCCCCAGCUAUGAAGUCAUGUGGUGGCAUAAGUGAUGUGAGCAGGGCUCAUCAAAGAGCACCGGUACAAAUACAGCUGGGGAGAAGAGGAGGGGGCUCAGCAGGCCUCUUUCUAGGUUAGGUAGUUUAUGAAAUGCCUGCCCUCUCCCCUGACCUGUUGCCACUGCUACUCAUGGGGGUCUUUGAGCCUGAGUCUUGGCAGUCUCCAACAAGCAGAGGACAGUGCCACAAGGCUGCAUAUAAGAGGGAUGGCAGCUACCCUCAUAACUCUGCUUGGAACAGUGCACCUACUACCACCGAAGGUGAGGGUGCUGUGUGCCUGUGGUAAAGAGUCCUGUGAAAAGCAACCACCCUCCCAGAGCAGGUACAGCCCCACCCAGCUGUAGAGCCCUAGGCUAGGGUGGCAGGAAGUCUUCUCCCACAGGAAUCCCACUGGACUGGCAAGAGGAGAACUGCUCACAGAGGACAUGCUGCUCAUUUUGGCAAGGGACUCUCUCCUCCCAGAUGGAACCCAGCCUGUCCAUGGAUGGAAAACAGCAGACUGGUUGCACAUCAGGGAAGAGAGCGAGAACCACUGAGUCAUUGAAGGGGUGGCAGCAGAGCCCUUGUCAUCCCAGAAUAGGGCUUGUGUGUGGGUGGUACCACCCUACCAAGCAAGGUCAAGGCCAUAUUGAGAUCAGGUCUAUAGGAGCCCCUGAUUGGACAGGUGUAUGGUCUCACAUUGCUUUAAUCCAGCUCUGCUUUGGGAAAAAUCUUCUGGGGGCAGAGGGAGGUGAGAAAGGGGAAGAGAAAGCAGUUUAAGGGACAGAAAGUUCUGGAGGCAGUCUGCUAGGGGGCUGCGUGAUGUAGUGCAUGCAUUCACUGAAGAUGCCUACUCUGGGUAAGGUGUUGUUUAGGGAGCACAUCUACUAGAAAGUACUCCUCUACUAUUGGUCAAUUUGAUCUUUAAGAGUACUGAUGGAUUCCUUGCUCUCACAGAGAAACAUUACUCAUGGAUAAUGCUUUCAUCUCCAGAUGGCUAUUGUUACAGAUAAUGACCAGGUUUCAGUUAUUCACACCUUUGUCACUUGUUUGCUGGACUACCACAAUAUAUCUGAGCAUGGUGCCAUUAGCACUUAGGAAACUCCAAAUAGUACAGAACACUGCACCAUAUCUUCUCAGCACCACAGGCUACCACAAGCAUAUCAAACUUGGCCUCUGGUCUUUAUGAUGGCUUCCCAUAGAAUUUCUAAUCAAAAUCAAGAUCUGAGAUCUUAUCUUCAAGGUAAUCCAUAGGCUGGAUCCAGGGUAUCUAAAAAACUGCCUAAAGCUCUGGGAUGAAGUCUGUGGUCAACAACUCUGCUCCUCGGGCACAAUUAAACUCUCUACAAUAAGGGUAAAGAGCA